rnacentral:rRNA from 1 species
GAGUUUGAUCAUGGCUCAGGAUGAACGCUGGCGGCGUGCCUAAUACAUGCGAGUCGAGCGAACAGACGAGGAGCUUGCUCCUCUGACGUUAGCGGCGGACGGGUGAGUAACACGUGGAUAACCUACCUAUAAGACUGGGAUAACUUCGGGAAACCGGAGCUAAUACCGGAUAAUAUAUUGAACCGCAUGGUUCAAUAGUGAAAGACGGUUUUGCUGUCACUUAUAGAUGGAUCCGCGCCGCAUUAGCUAGUUGGUAAGGUAACGGCUUACCAAGGCAACGAUGCGUAGCCGACCUGAGAGGUGAUCGGCACACUGGAACUGAGACACGGUCCAGACUCCUACGGGAGGCAGCAGUAGGGAAUCUUCCGCAAUGGGCGAAAAGCCUGACGGAGCAACGCCGCGUGAGUGAUGAAGGUCUUCGGAUCGUAAAACUCUGUUAUUAGGGAAGAACAAAUGUGUAAGUAACUAUGCACGUCUUGACGGUACCUAAUCAGAAAGCCACGGCUAACUACGUGCCAG